CAAAAAAACUGGCCAAAAUAAACAUGGAUAUUUUGUGAUUGAGCAACGGAGCUGAGAUUCAGUUCCACGGACGGACAUUGGGGAAAGUGGAGGUAGGCGCUGGCUGUCAAGUUAAGGAGGAGCUGCUAUCAAAGCGAACUACAGCCAGGUAAGACCACCCGUGGAUGCGCAUGGAAGCUGUGCCUGUGGAAGGAAGGAUGGCGGUUCAAAAGUUUGAAGACUUGGAGCAAUCGUCUGGCUCGUAGCUGAAGAAGCUUUAGUUUCUGCGCAAAACAUUCCGGUGCUGAGUGACUUUGCUGAGUGACGCAAUGCUGUGACGUGUGAAUGCGCUCUAUUGGUGAAGUUGCCGCCCCGCUGUUUUUGUUCCAUAUAUGGAGAUUAUUUGGAUAAAGUUUAUUUCGCUUCCAUGAAGACAAUAUCCAAGGGUGGCUAAAGAAUGAAAUGUUUCUAGAAAUCACGCUGAUGCUGCAUGUUUUGAAAUGAACAAACACUGAAUGAAAUGAAUGACUGAAGGUCUGAUUAAAAUGGAGCGUGAUAAAAGACUGAUUAAACCAACGGCCAAGGCGUUGGCAAAUAAAAUCGAAAAGCUUCAACAUGAACGAAAAAUAGCAGUGAAUAAAAUGAAAUCACUUAUACCAGAAAUGAAAUCACUUAUGAAGACAAAAGAAAAUGUUUCACACGUCCAGUCAUGUUUUAAGAAAUUAAAUCAAUUUUGUGUAACUGUUAUUGCCUCACAUGAUGUUUUGAUGCCUUUACUCAUGGAGGAUGAGCAAAAUGGACAAAAUGAGUGGUUUGACAGCAUCAUGACAUACACUAAUGCAUUUAAAGAAGAUGUUGAAAGAUGGCUGAGUGGGUCUGAAGACUUGCAACAAAAUGGAAGCCCCCAUUUGCUUCAAUCAGUUCCAGCUGUAAAAGAUGAAGAAAUGCUUCAAUAUCUAAGAGAGGAUGGUCCACAAAUAAAUAUUCCUGCAUCACUGCUCAGUACAGAAGACAUGCAAGAUGACAUUAAACCAUAUGACAGUGUGUCAAAUGCUGAAGAUAAAACUUCAGUUUCUGGGAGAAGGUCUGUUGCUUCUUCUACUUCAUCUGCACGUCUGAAAGCAGAGGCUGACCUGGCAGUGUUAAUGGCAAGACAGAAACUACUAAAGGAAAAACAUGAACUGGAGGAACAAGAGGAACAUCUGAAGAGGAAGAAGGAGCAACUUAAAAUGGAUGAAGACAUUGCAGCACAUGUGGCUAAAUUGAAUGUGUUACGAUCUCAAAGUGUCACAAGUUCGAGGAAGUCAACUAAAUACUCUGAUGGAAUGGAUUCUUACUUGGAAAAGGAAACAUCAAAACGAAUGGUUCUUAAUAUUGAUGCAAAUUCCUUUAUUCCACAACCAUCAAUAAAACAAAGAGAUACUAAACAAGAACCCUUGGAUCAAGGAACAAGGCAUAGAAGGAAAUCUCUACCUCUAUAUGUUGACUAUGAACCUAAAUAUGAACCCAGACAAUAUUCAGAGAAUCACAACAAUAAUGAACAGACUCAGUACAGAAGCCCUUUGAAUGCAGAAUCAGAGUCAAGAGAUGAACAUAACAACAAUGUGCUGGGACUUAUGAGAAAGCAGAAUGAAAUAACAACGCUCUUGAUUCGACAGCAAUUACUCUCAUCAUUACCAAAGAAAGAAAUACCAGUUUUUGAUGGAGACCCAUAGAACUAUCAUGCAUUCAUUAAAGCUUUUGAGAAUGGUGUGGAGAAAAAUACGGACGAUUACAGUGAUCGACUGUAUUUUCUGGAGCAGUACACCAGGGAUCACGCAAAAGAACUGGUGAAAAGCUGUCAACAUAUUGCUCCAGACAGGGGCUAUGUUAAAGCCAAAGCUCUACUAAGGGAGCAUUUUGGAAACGAACAUCAAGUUGCAUCUGCAUAUAUGGAAAAGGCUCUUACAUGGUUGCCAAUUAAGACAGAAGACCUCAAGUCACUCCAAGACUACAGUCUUUUCCUUAGAAGCUGUUCUACUGCUAUGGAAGGAGUGGACUAUUUGCGUGAGCUAAACAUGCCUGCCAAUAUGCUAACCAUUGUAAAGAAGAUGCCUUACAAGUUCAGAGAUAAAUGGAGAACUGUAGCCUGUAAAUUACAAGAAAAGUACAAACGAAGAGCAACAUUCAGUGACAUCACAGACUUUAUUGAGAAACAAGUUAAAAUCUUAUCUGACCCAGUAUUUGGAAAUAUACAAGAUUCUAACUCAAUGACAAACAAAGUCAUUAACAAACCUAAACUGCAGCCUCACUUUGGCAUAAAAAGAACGAGUUUUGCCACUGCUGUGGCUCCUUUGGAAAGUAAAACAUCACCUGCAACUACAUUUAAGAAACAAACUUUGAGGACAUGUCUUUGUUGUGGAGGAGGACAUAAAUUGGAUGUGUGUCCACAGAUGGAGAAGAAAACCCAUAAAGAGAAGAUAGGCUUCUUAAGGGAAAAAGGUGUCUGUUUUGGCUGUUUGUGUAUUGGACACUUCAGCAAAGACUGCAGAAAACGGAUCUCUUGUGAAAAGUGUGGUCUUCAACAUCCCAAUAUACUUCACAUUCCUCAAAGAAGAAAUAACCCUGGUCAAACUGAAAAGACAGAUGUGUCAGUGGACAGCAACAUGGUGUCAAGUGGGCUCACUGGGGCUGGUAAUGAUAAUAUUAAACUCCCUAUUGUUCCUGUACAAGGGAAGUCCAAGAAGGGUGACAAAAUCAUUUCCACUUAUGCUUUCUUGGAUCCAGGGAGUACAGCGGUUUUUUGCACAGAAGCCCUAAGUAACAAGCUAGGUCUCACAGGAAAGAAAUCACGCAUUCUCUUGAGGACUAUGGGCCAAGAGAAAGUUGUGAGCAGUUAUGUUGUUUUAGGAUUGGAGGUUGCUGGUUUACAAGGUGACAACUUCUGUGAACUACCAAAAACUUAUACACAGCAGCAUAUGCCUGUCCACAAAGGGAACAUCCCAAAAGAAAUGGAUCUUCAAAGAUGGACAUAUUUAGAACCUGUUAAGUUGCCUGAGAUAGAUUCAGAUAUUGAGCUGCUAAUUGGAGCAAAUGUUCCCCAGGCUUUGGAGCCAUUGGAAGUCAUUAACAGUGAAGAUGGAGGACCCUAUGCUAUCAGGACAAAGCUGGGAUGGACAGUGAAUGGACCUCUGAGAAGAGAAACUGAUGGAGCAACCAACUGUGAGCACUCAGAGAUAUCAGUCAACAGAGUGUCGGUGGUGGAGUUGGAGGAACUUUGGCAGCAGUAGGAGGACUGGACACAGAAACUGAGCCAAGAAAAGGAAACCUCCAGCAAACAACUGAAUGAUUUUAAAGAAAUGCUAAAGGUGAAGGACAGGCAGAUGGAGGAGAAGCUGGCUGAACUGAAGACUGCAUCCAAGGACAGAGAGACUGAGCUUCUGGAAAAAGUGCAGGCAGCGCAGGAAAAGGAGUGUCAGACAGUGCGGGAGGCCAGACGCAAGGAGGUGGAGAGGUGCGAGGAGCUGCUGGCUAUUGCACACAAGGCCAUCGCUCAAAAGGAUACAGAAAUGGAGAGGAGAGCCGAGGAGAUCAGCAAUCUGAAGAAAAUAACCAAACAGGACUCAGAGAAAAUUAAGAAUCUCAGUCUUGAUCAUCAGAGGAAAGAGGAGGACUCUUCAGAUCUCCAGGAAAAAUUGACCAAAUACAAGAAGCAAAUGCAUCAGGUCCAGAAGAGGAUUUCUGCAAUGAGAAAAGAGAAGCUCCUGAGACGGAAGCUGGCUGACAUGGAGAGAACUAAGAAGCAGCUUCAGUGUGACCUCCGUACCAGGGACAGAACCAUCCAACAGCUCAGACUGGACAAUCUAACACAGGAUGUGAUAAAACACACAAGCUCUACAGUAAGGCCUGUAAAGACGGCAAAGGACCGCAUGUUGGAGGAAAUGCGAUUGGCUCUAGUGAAGCAGGACAACAUGCAGGAGAAGAUGGAAACAGUCUUGGAGGAGAAGCUUACCCACAUCCAGGAACUCUGCAACAAGGUGGACAGGAUGAAGAGCAUGCUGCUGCAGCAUGACUUGACUGAUGGACAUGAGUGUGACAUAAGGAUUAAUAAGAUCAUCCUUAUGAGAAGAAAAGAAGAUGGGACAUCAAUUAUGGACUUUAUAUGCUAGGUUUUUCAACGAUUCAUGUCCCCUACUAAUAUAAAUGUGUGUAAUUAUUAUGUGUAUUAACUUAAUAAUUAGGGGCUGGUGUGUAGGUGCCAUGAAUUAAGUGUGGUCUUUCUUAUGUUAAAUGAAUAUAGAUUUGUGUUUGAUUAUAGGUUAUUGUGUAGGUAAUCAGCUGGUGGGUCACAUGGUUGUGGGCGGUGACAUUAAUUGACUAUAACUCACCUGUGGUUUUUUCCCCUGUGUAAGAUGGAAGGGGGGGUGAGCUGGGUUGCCGUAUUUUUUGUUGACCGCUUCAUAUGCUUCAUACGCUUCAUACGCUUCAUACGCUUCAUAUGCUUCAUACGCUUCAUAUGCUUUAUGCGCCACAUACGCUUUAGUUUAUACGCUUUUGUGCUUUUCCCUUGAUUCCUUGUUUUUUCUAUUUUUGAUCAUAAUAUUACAAGUGGAUUUACUUACCUUCAUUUUUCCAUUAUUAAAAGCUACAAAAAUACAAACUUCGUUAUGCUCUAUCUAUGGUUUUUGAGCGCGUCAUUCAAAACCCGGACCCACCCAGCGUCAGCC